CCUACGGGAGGCUGCAGUGAGGAAUAUUGGUCAAUGGGCGUAAGCCUGAACCAGCCAAGUCGCGUGAGGGAUGAAGGUUCUAUGGAUCGUAAACCUCUUUUAUAAGGGAAUAAAGUGCGGAGCGGGUCCCGUUUUGUAUGUACCUUAUGAAUGAGGAUCGGCUAACUCCGUUCCAGCAGCCGCGGUAAUACGGAGGAUCCGAGAGUUAUCCGGAUUUGUUUGGUUUAAAGGGUGCGGAGGCGGCCUUUUAAGUCAGCGGUGUAAGUUUUUGGCUCAACCAGAGAAUUGCCGUUGAAACUGGGAGGCUAGAGUAUGUUUGAGGCAGGUGGAAUGCGUGGUGUAGCGGUGAAAUGCUUAGAUAUCAGGAAGAACCCCGAUGGCGAAGGCAGCCGGCUAAGCCAUGACUGACGCUGAUGCACGAAAGCGUGGGGAUCAAACAGGAUUAGAUACCCUUGUAGUC
rnacentral:rRNA from 1 species